GGCCCGCGGCGCCCGCUGGUUGUCAGGGUAACUGCGCCUGUGCCUCCGAAGAAAUUCUGUCCAGGCUUUGUACCCGAUUUACGGCGCAGUUGGCCGUGCCAUUCAACAGUGCGAGGGCCGGGAGUCGGCCCGGCCCUCGACUGGCUUUGUGGCCUCGGCCUUUGUGACCUGCAGGCUCUCAUCUCAACGGGGGACCAUGAUAAUAGCCGCUUCUUAAUAGUGUCUGGCGAGGACUGAGUUAAAAUGGGAUGACUGGACGUAGUAAGUGCUCGCAAAGUGCUCGCAUCACCGUCUCUCUUGAAAACGGUGGGAAAGCAGGAGAGAGAAAUGCCGGCUACUGGUUUGGUCUUCAGGGCGAGAGGCGGGACCCCAAGGGGCUAGGAAGCCGCCCCCACCUGGCGUCCACCCCAACCUGGGCUCGCGCGACGCGGCGGGGCGCGCAGCGGCGGACUCCUGGCCUUUGGGGACAAGGUCACGAGCGGGCGACAGAGGAGCUAGGACAUGGCCCGGUGGGCUCGGCCUGCUCUUUCCGCCUUCGGGCCCUGGGGCCCGGCAGGGUGGAGGAAUCUCUAUACUGAAGUCAGAGAUGUCCUGGGGGAGGGUCAUCAAGGGCCUUCUCCUGGAAGAAUGGACAUGGUGGCCACCAGUCUUUGGGGUGUGAAAAAGGCGCCCGGUGCAGUGGGGCUGGCAGUCCUGAACUCUGGCAUUACAGGUGGAAGAAGACCCGUAUCUUUUUCUGCUAGUGCCUCAAGCAUCUUUGGAAGAGGAGGCAACAGUAAGAAGGAGAAGCUUUUUCUGCAGGAUAUAGCAGAGCUGAUCCAAGCCAGAGCCUGCCGGAGGGUGGUGGUCAUGGUGGGGGCCGGCAUCAGCACGCCUAGCGGCAUUCCGGACUUCAGGUCUCCCAGGAGUGGCCUCUACAGCAGCCUGCAGCAGUACGACCUCCCCUACCCUGAGGCCAUUUUUGAGCUCACUUUCUUCUCUCACAACCCCAAGCCCUUUUUCACUUUGGCCAAGGAGCUGUACCUCAGGAGCUACAGGCCCAACGUCAUACACUACUUCCUCCGACUGCUUCACGACAAGGGGCUGCUGCUGCGGCUCUACACACAGAACAUCGACGGGCUCGAGAGAGUAUCUGGCAUCCCUGCCUCAAAGCUGGUGGAAGCUCAUGGAUCCUUUGCCUCUGCCACGUGCACUGUCUGCCGAAGGCCCUCUCCAGGGAAGGACAUUUGGGCCGACGUGGCAGUGGACAGGAUCCCCCGCUGCCCAGUCUGCACUGGCGUUGUGAAGCCUGACAUCGUCUUCUUUGGGGAGGCACUUCCCCAGAGAUUCCUGAUGCACGUGGUUGAUUUCCCCAUGGCAGAUCUGCUGCUCAUCCUCGGGACCUCCCUGGAGGUUUUUAUCCAUCUGAUUGGUUAGAAAUAAAUGUGUGUGUGAGAGAGAAAGAGAAAGAGAGGAGAAGGGGAUCUAACAUUUCUGUAAUAAAGAGUGAAGUUCACCUUUUCAUGUUUAUUAACAAUUGUGUUCUCUUUGGAUUACAUAUUUAUAUCUUGCUCAUUUUUCAUUGGGUUAUUUUCUUAGUCUAUUUAUAAAUUAGCAAUAUAAAUCCAUAAAUUAUAUAAAGUGCUUAUAAAUUAGCUUAGCAACUAGAAAUAUAAACUGAAACAUGUUGUAAAUAUGUUUGCAGUUUAUGGUAAUGAGGUUUAAAAAAUUAUUUUUUCUACGGCAUAUUUUUAUAGAUAAUAAUGUGAUAGCAUUAUGUAUUCAAACCUAGCAUGACUUUCCUUUGUCUUAUCUGACUUAUCAGGCCUAAAAAGUCCUUCCCUACCUUUACUUGUGAAACUUAAAUUUUCCUCAAGAACUGUUUUGUGUACAUUUGAAAUUUUUUCAGCGAAAGCAGGAAUUGAGUAUUUUCCUACCAGAUAAUGAGCCAGUCUCAGUACCAUUUAUUAAUCUAUUUCUUAUAUUAUUACUCCUGAAUGGAAAUUCCACUUGGGAGCUGGAUGAAGAAGCCCCAAGGCACCGAGUUAGGACUCCCUGGAGGUCUGGAUGGUGGAGCCUGUGGAGAGGUGGGGCCUCCACCCCUGUGGGCAGCCCAGGAGCCCUCUGUGCGCCCAGGCCCUUUCUCCCAGGGAGCGAGAGCAGACAGGCGAGAUGCUGCUGGGCGGGGAGACCUGCAGAAGCCAAGACGUGCAGGAAGCAGGAAGACGUGGACCAGAGGGAGGCUCAGGAAGGGAGGAACCCAGGCAUUGAAACCGAGCAGACCGCAUGACUGGAAGAAAUGAAAGAGCGGUAGAACCUUUUGCCAGCUUGUCUGAAGCCGUGCAGAGCUCAGUGCCCCGACUGCUCAUCAACCGGGACUUGGUGGGGCCCUUUGCUUGGC